CUUAUUCAUAUGGUACCUUCAAAUCUCUACACGUAGAAACCAUUAUUCCAUAUAAAAGAAGUUUACAACCCAUAGGGCCGUCUUCCUUCACGCGGCAUGGCUGGUUCAGGGUUGCCCCCAUUGACCAAUAUUC
rnacentral:rRNA from 1 species